UACGAGGGGUCCAAGCGUUGUUCGGAAUCACUGGGCGUAAAGCGCACGUAGGCGGAUCUUUUAAGUCAGAGGUGAAAUCCCAAGGCUCAACCUUGGAACUGCCUUUGAUACUGGGGAUCUCGAGUCCGGAAGAGGUGAGUGGAACUGCGAGUGUAGAGGUGAAAAUUCGUAGAUAUUCGCAAGAACACCAGUGGCGAAGGCGGCUCACUGGUCCGGACUAGUACGCUGAGGUGCGAAAGCGUGGGGAGCAAACAGG
rnacentral:rRNA from 1 species